GACGAACGCUGGCGGCGUGCUUAAUACAUGCAAGUCGAACGGAAAGGCCCUGCUUUUGUGGGGUGCUCGAGUGGCGAACGGGUGAGUAACACGUGAGUAACCCGCCCUUGACUUUGGGAUAACUUCAGGAAACUGGGGCUAAUACCGGAUAGGAGCUCCUGCUGCAUGGUGGGGGUUGGAAAGUUUCGGCGGUUGGGGAUGGACUCGCGGCUUAUCAGCUUGUUGGUGGGGUAGUGGCUUACCAAGGCUUUGACGGGUAGCCGGCCUGAGAGGGUGACCGGCCACAUUGGGACUGAGAUACGGCCCAGACUCCUACGGGAGGCAGCAGUGGGGAAUAUUGCACAAUGGGCGGAAGCCUGAUGCAGCAACGCCGCGUGCGGGAUGACGGCCUUCGGGUUGUAAACCGCUUUCGCCUGUGACGAAGCGUGAGUGACGGUAAUGGGUAAAGAAGCGCCGGCUAACUACGUG
rnacentral:rRNA from 1 species